UGGGGAAUAUUGGACAAUGGGCGAAAGCCUGAUCCAGCCAUGCCGCGUGUGUGAAGAAGGUCUUCGGAUUGUAAAGCACUUUUAGUAGGGAGGAAGGGCAGUAAGCGAAUACCUUGCUGUUUUGACGUUACCGACAGAAUAAGCACCGGCUAACUCGGUGCCAGCAGCCGCGGUAAUACAGAGGUUGCAAGCGUUAAUCGGAAUUACUGGGCGUAAAGCGCGCGUAGGUGGUUCGUUAAGUUGAAUGUGAAAGCCCCGGGCUCAACCUGGGAACUGCAUCGGAAACUGGCGAGCUAGAGUAGAGCAGAGGGUGGUGGAAUUUCCUGUGUAGCGGUGAAAUGCGUAGAUAUAGGGAGGAACACCAGUGGCGAAGGCGACCACCUGGGCUCAUACUGACACUGAGGUGCGAAAGCGUGGGGAGCAAACAGG
rnacentral:rRNA from 1 species